ensembl:lncRNA
AGAGACCUGUGACUGUUCAGCCCAGAGAAGACUGAGAAGGAAUCUUACCAAUGCCUAUGGAUAUCUGAAGUGUGGAAGUAAGGUGGAUGGGGCCAGGCUCUUUUCAGUGGUGCCCAGUGACAGGACAAGGGGCAAAGGGCACAAACUGGAACACUAGAAGUUCCAUAUGAACUUGAGGAAAAACCUCUUUGAAAGUGACAGAGCACUGGAACAGGCUGCCUGGAGAGAUUGUGGAGUCUCCUUCUCUGGAGAUAUGCAUAUCUGCCUGGACGCCUUCCUGUAUGACCUACUGUAGGGAACUUGUUUUAUCAAGGGUGGGACUAGAAGAUGUCCAGAUGAUCUCCAGCCACAGUGAAUCUGUGAUUCUGUGUAUCACUUUAUUUAUUCAGUUUUUUUUCUUUUUCAGAGAAAGCUGCCUCUGCCCUCGAAGGCCUCUCAUUUUACCAGGAUGUAUGCAGUGGACACAGACCUGAUAAGAAAUUAUGAGGUUGCAGUUUCUACUGGAAUAAGAGUUCAAUGCAGUCACUUACCCAGACUUCACUUCAUCAUGUCUGAGCACUUACAGCUAUAACUUGUGAUCUUUCUGGUUUAUUUGGAGGCACAGCAAGCCAGCUCCUGUACACAGAGGCAUCCUUAUAUGCUUUCUAAUGUGAUGCUGCUGCGUGGGAUAUUGAGAUCACAGUGAAGGUCGCAGUGCAAAUAUUUACAUACAGGCAAGUCUUAGUGUAUGACUCUCUGGAGACCCCUACAUAAAGGCUGUGAAUCUGAUUAGAUUCCAAAAUGGAAGAGCAAGACAUCUUGUUUUUGUCCAUACUCUUGAAAAUGUUAUCCUAACCCUCAAGAACAUUAAGAACAGUAAGGCUAUGAAGAGAUGGAGAAGAACAACUGAAGUUCCAUAACAAGCCAGAAAGACGUGCAGCAGUUGGAGCAGGUCCAGAGGAGGGCGGUGAAGAUGGUCAGCGGGCUGGAGCAGUUCUCCUACGAAGAGAAGUUGAAGGAGUUGGACCUGUUCAGCCUGGAGAAGAGCAUCAACUGAACAACACCACCUCCAACGACCAACCACUACUGAAGAUGCGCACCUGACUCUAAAACAUCGCUGAAUCAAGGAGUGGUUACUUUUUAUUAUUUCAUCCCUACGAUUUUCUCCACUUGAUCCCUCUGUUUCUUAAGUUGGACACAGUCUGCCAGCAGAGAUCUUACAAGUAUCACAUAGAGGAAAAACUAACUGUGGACCAGGACACCUCAUUCUAGGAACAUGUAUAAAACAACAGUCCGUGUCCAGGCAAGUCUGAUGAAGGAGCCACUGAUCUUCUAGACGAGACUAGGAGUCAUCUUCAGUAGCCUAAGCCAGGAAAUGGCCUCUGGAUGGGUGGCUACUCAAGUGGAGAACACUAUGAAUAUGCAGAGAGCCCAUGGGGAAUACAGAGAGAGACUGAUCAGCAAAGAAAUCUGCUUAAGGUGUCAGAAAGCUUAUGAAAAAAAGCUGGAGUUCAAGAAUGGAAAAGGUAUAUGAAGGCACUGUCAGGACUUUCACUCCUGCAGUGAAGCUGCUGUAUGGAGCAUUGCUGACCAUACAGCCCUCCUGAAGGCCUCCCAAAAUGCUGAUUCCAAUUAGUCUGGUUGGAUUUGGAAGGCAGAAGGCCAGGAAGAGCAAAGUGUUGGUCCUCUAUCAGGAAAGAUGGAAACAGAAAAAUGCAGCUGUGUGUGUGUGUGUCUGCUCUGAAGUGAGUAAAGAAAACAGUUAAAUGAUAAAGCACCCAUCCUCCAAGAGUACAAAAGCAGUAGGCAGACCUUUAAGACAUUUCUGGCUUCCUCUGUGAGCCUGAAAGCUCCCGUAAAACUCAGUGGAAUUCAUCAUAUCCUCCUUCUGCCAAAGCAAAAGACUCAAAUCAGUUUAUGUAAUAACAUGAUAAUAUUGUUCCUAAUAAAAAUAGAUUGUUAUGAAAAAAAAAAUCAGAAAUCAAAUUCUGUAUAUCCAUAGUCCUUUUAGUGAUGAUAUUGAAGAAUUUUCAAUUCUGUCUUCGGAGAAGUAUCUUAUAACGUAAAACUUUUCUUGUACAGUAUUUUUAAUGUGAGCAUUUUUGACAUGGACCUGAUAUUUCUUGGUCAAUUAACCAUUACUGAUGAACAGCAGAGUAAUUCCUUGAGCAAACUCAUGCAUAACAUGUUGGCAUUUAAUUCAGUGCAGCCUGAAGGCAUAACAGAGAAUGGAUGGAGCCAUCUGGGAAAGGAGAGGGAUUGUCUCCUGAGGGAGCUCCGCAAUCUCCCAGAUAACUCUCUAGCAGAGAAGAGUACUUUCAGCAUCGUGUAAUCCUGCCACUUGAACACAUUUUGACACUGUAUUACUUAUUUCUAAACCACUGAUCAUUUGUGGUUUCUUAACACCAGUAGGUAGCUAAGCUCCACCAGCUGGCUGCAACUGGCUCUUAUCUGAUAUGUGGCAGCUUCUGGCCUCUUCUGACAGAGGCCAUCCUGCUGCCUCCCUGCUACUAAAAUCUUGCCAUAUAAACACAAUAUAUCAUUGAAAAGGUAGUCAACGUUACCUGUCUGCUAUGCAAUUAAUAUAGAAGCAGGACCUGCUUUAUAGUUCCAUCAUUAAAAUGUGGAACUGGAGGAGAGCUGUGAGGGCCAAACAAGAUCAUUAUAAUCCUUUUCCUUCCUCUGCUUUAGCUACUUUAGCUACUUUGCUGUAGUUCUUCUCACUGGAAAAAUAACAGAAAUGUGCUUUAUGCUGUCUAGGCAAUGGAAGGUACUGUCUCCCCUUCUGUAUUGUUUUUGUUUUAUGACCUAAAUGAAAGCUGGUUUAUAAUUUCAAUUGUACCCAGCUACAAAAGUACUUCAGAGUUAUGUGAGGUUAGAAGGUACAGUAGCUAUGAAAUAAUUGCUCUGAUUGAGUCAAAGUCAAAAAGUAAAUUUGAAAAUAAACUGAGUAUUUUCCAUAAGGAAAUAAAAGAAAAUGAAGGAUUAGAGAAAUUGGAAAUGAAUUCAGUAGUACUUUCUGUGCUUCUUACAUGAAGUGGCUUCCUGGAGGCUGCCUGAAUUCAAAAUGAAAUAGACAAAACCUCAGAAGAUGACACUUUAGACAUUAAAAGACAUUCUAUGUGCUUAAUCUCACAUCUUACCGUAGCAUCUACAUUCAAAAUAAAUUCAGAUGGAAAAAUAAGGGAAAGAAAAGAUGCAUAGACAACAUUUUAUAAAAAGUAAAGCUUAAAAGUAGGGAAUCCUUAUGGAAGCUUAGAAGCUAGACCUAGAAUUAAUCCUCUGGAUCAAGCUCAAAUAGGAGAAGUUCUAAAAUGGACAGAAUAGAUUAAUGUUUAGAAAUAGGUACCCAUAUUUUAUGAUUCUGUGGAGAGUGAAGGUUGACUCCUUGUAAUGGUGGUCAGAAAACAGCAAUAAGCUUUCCUUUCAAAUAUGCUUUUAAUUACUUACUUCAAGUAGUUAUUACUCAAUUGGCAUCCGUAUUAACGUUGAGAAAUAAAUUCUACAGCUGAAUCCAGUUUGUUGCUAAAUGUAUAGAUAGGUAAAUAUCCACCUGCGGUUUUUAGAUUCAAAUAUUUCAAACUUUGCAUCUUUUGCAUGAGCUUUCAAUAAAGUGAAAGAGGCAGCACAGUUCAAUCAUCUGUUCUGUCUUUAUACACCAAGACAGUAAUAUAUUUUCAAAGAACAAGUGGAAAUUAUGCUAAUAUCAUAAUAACUUCUUUGUAAUGCAGUUUUCUUUAUCCUUUUUGAUCAACAGGAGUAUUGUUAGAAAUGGGAAAAAGCAAGGUGAUUGUAAGCUUAGGUAGGGAAAGUAAGGUUUCAAGAAAUACCAUACCUUUAUUUUAUUUACUUUUUUAUUUCUCCUCAAGAUGUUAUGUAUAGUGAAGAGCAGUUACUGAAAUCAGUAAGUAUCCAGUGACUACCCUUUAUAAAGGCAGUAUACUGACCAUAAAACAAGGUUACAAGAAAGGAUGAAACGCAAUACUCUCAGAACUGCCACAUCAUAGUUUCCUUAAAUAGGUGAAGAUUAUAAAUAUGCAAGCAUUAAAUAUUUCUUUUCCAGUCCUGUCACACGCAGAACCACAGGGCUCAGUGCUCUGGAAAAUUAGUAAAUUUCUGUCUGAGAUGCAAAUGCAGAACUGCCAAGAAUAUAGAAUAAAUUUGUCACAAUCCUUUAUUUAAUUUAUCUAAUUAGGAGUUCAAGUAAGAAAAAUAGAAAAUUAUUCAACUGAAGUUCCAAUGAAUGAAUAAUUUUAAGCUUUAGUUCUCAUAAUCUUAAGGGAAUGUAAACCCUGCAGACAGGAGGAUUCCUCUGUGGAAAUAAAGGAGGAGUUGUUUGUUUAAAUUGCUGUUGUGAUUUGUUAUUCAUAAUUAAAAAUAUUUUUAAUAGAAUUAUUGCAAAAUAAAUUACCAAAAUGCUUUUCUUUUUGAUUGUGCAUAAGGCAAAAUACAAACAAUUUAAAAUAUAAAGAAAUAAACCAAC